rnacentral:rRNA from 1 species
AAUUUUGGACAAUGGGGGAAACCCUGUUCCAGCCCUCCCGCGUGUAUGAUGAAGGCCUUCGGGUUGUAAAGUACUUUUGGGAGAGAAGAAAAGGUAUCCCCUACUACGGGAUACUGCUGUAGGUAUCUGCAGCAUACGCACCGGAUAACUCCGUUCAAGCAGCCGCGGUCAGACGUAGGGUGCAAUCGUUAAUCGGAAUUACUGGGCGUAAAGCGUGUGUAGGCGGUUCGGAAAGAAAGAUGUGAAAACCCAGGGCUCAACCUUGGGACUGCAUUUGUAACUGCCGAGCUAGAGUAUGUCAGAGGGAGGUAGAAUUCCACGUGUAGCAGUGAAAUGCGUAGAUAUGUGGAGGAAUACCGAUGGCGAAGGCAGCCCCCUGGGAUAAUACUGACGCUCAGACACGAAAGCGUGGGGAGCAAACAGG